rnacentral:rRNA from 1 species
GACGAACGCUGGCGGCGUGCUUAACACAUGCAAGUCGAACGGUGAAGCGCUUUCCUUUUUGGUUGGUGUGGAUGAGUGGCGAACGGGUGAGUAACACGUGAGUAACCUGCCCCCUUCUUCUGGAUAACCGCAUGAAAGUGUGGCUAAUACGGGAUAUUCUGCGCCUGCUGCAUGGUGGGUGUGGGAAAGAUUGUGCCUUUGGGUGUUUUCGGUGGGGGAUGGGCUCGCGGCCUAUCAGCUUGUUGGUGGGGUGAUGGCCUACCAAGGCGGUGACGGGUAGCCGGCCUGAGAGGGUGGACGGUCACACUGGGACUGAGACACGGCCCAGACUCCUACGGGAGGCAGCAGUGGGGAAUAUUGCGCAAUGGGCGCAGGCCUGAUGCAGCGACGCCGCGUGAGGGAUGGAGGCCUUCGGGUUGUGAACCUCUUUCGCCAGUGAAGCAGGCCUGCUCCUUGUGGGUGGGUUGACGGUAGCUGGAUAAGAAGCGCCGGCUAACUACGUG